UAGGGAAUCCUCGGCAAUGGGGGCAACCCUGACCGAGCAACGCCGCGUGAGUGAAGAAGGUUUUCGGAUCGUAAAGCUCUGUUGUAAGUCAAGAACGGGUGUGAGAGUGGAAAGUUCACACUGUGACGGUAGCUUACCAGAAAGGGACGGCUAACUACGUGCCAGCAGCCGCGGUAAUACGUAGGUCCCGAGCGUUGUCCGGAUUUAUUGGGCGUAAAGCGAGCGCAGGCGGUUUGAUAAGUCUGAAGUUAAAGGCUGUGGCUCAACCAUAGUUCGCUUUGGAAACUGUCAAACUUGAGUGCAGAAGGGGAGAGUGGAAUUCCAUGUGUAGCGGUGAAAUGCGUAGAUAUAUGGAGGAACACCGGUGGCGAAAGCGGCUCUCUGGUCUGUAACUGACGCUGAGGCUCGAAAGCGUGGGGAGCGAACAGGAUUAGAUACCCUGGUAGUCCACGCCGUAAACGAUGAGUGCUAGGUGUUGGAUCCUUUCCGGGAUUCAGUGCCGCAGCUAACGCAUUAAGCACUCCGCCUGGGGAGUACGACCGCAAGGUUGAAACUCU
rnacentral:rRNA from 1 species